rnacentral:rRNA from 1 species
AGCAGCCGCGGUAAUUCCAGCUCCAAUAGCGUAUAUUAAAGUUGUUGCAGUUAAAAAGCUCGUAGUUGAAUUUCGGGAUUGGCACAUCGGUCGUGCCUUAAGGGGUAUGAACUGGUGUAGCCAAUUUCUCACCUUCUGGAGAACCGCGAUGUCCUUAAUUGGGUGCCGCGAGGAACCAGGACCUUUACUUUGAAAAAAUUAGAGUGUUUAAAGCAGGCAUUUUGCUUGAAUACAUUAGCAUGGAAUAAUAAAAUAGGACGGCAUGAUUCUAUUUUGUUGGUUUCUAGGAUCACCGUAAUGAUUAAUAGGGAUAGUUGGGGGCAUUAGUAUUCAAUUGUCAGAGGUGAAAUUCUUGGAUUUAUUGAAGACUAACUACUGCGAAAGCAUUUGCCAAGGAUGUUUUCAUUAAUCAAGAACGAAAGUUAGGGGAUCGAAGACGAUCAGAUACCGUCGUAGUCUUAACCAUAAACUAUGCCGACUAGGAAUCAGACGAUGUUAAUUUUUAAUGUACUCGUUUGGC